CUUAACCGACCAAGCCACCCAGGCGCCCCAUGAAACAAGUUCUCUUUAAAGUUGGAUUAGACCAGUGUGUAUCUGCAGAGGGCUGAACAAGCUUGUCACUGAUUGGGUAGGAAAGAGACUUCCUCCCAUAGAAGAACCCCAGUAACACCCACCUAACUAAAGAGAAUGGCUUUUUGAUUGAGGAGACUGAGUCCACAUAUCAAGCUAUAGUUGGGGAGAAGAAUGGAGCUGUUCCUGGGAGUUAUUUUGGUGAUUUUGUGGCUUCCAGUGGACUGGGUAAGCAGCCAAAAGAUGGAACAGAGUCCUCAGUCCCUGAACAUCCAGGAGGGUGAGAAGGCCGUUCUGACCUGUAACUGCACAAAUUUUUCUCCAGUGGUCUUCCAGUGGUACCGACAAGAUCCGGGAAGAGGCCUUAUCUUCUUGCUACUAAUACGUGAAAAUGAGAGUAAAAAACAGACAGGAAGACUGAAGGCCACCUUUGAUAAGACCAUCAAACAGAGUUCCUUUUACAUAACAGAACCCCAGCCUGCAGACUCAGCCACCUACCUCUGUGCUGCAAACACACAGCAGGGUCCUAUCACCUGCUUCCUGUACCCAAACUCUGCUAACAACUCUCGCAGUCAACAGAGCUGCUGGCUGCACUGACCCCAAGGGUUUAAUAUGCUCCUGGCAUAUUAAAUGGGGGUACUUGAAAAGAUUAAAGGGUGUGAGAAGGAGCACUGGACUGACCAUGAGGGAGUGGGGGAUCCAUCUCCCAGCCUGAGCACUGCUGAUACCACUGUGUGACUUUAAGCAACUGGUGAGAUUUGCAGGUCUCAGUUUCCUCAUCGGACCAUGAAGGGCUUACCACAGGAUUCCCAAGUCUGUCUCAGUUCUGAAAUUCAGAGCCUAAUUUUUCAGGAAAAAUGAAUAUGCCCUGAAGAGUGCCAGAGAGCAAGAAAAGAGAAUUUGCAUGCAUGCGUGUGCACACGUGUGUGUGUGUGUGUGUGUGUGUGUGUGUGUGUGUGUGUAUGAGCUUAAGGACAAUUAAUUCUGCCCAAUUUUUGUGACUAGGCCAGAACAGCAUGAGACAUAGACAGGGUUAAACACAUUCCUUUUAAACAGAGAAUGUAGUUUCCUCUACAUAAAGAACAAAAACAAACAAGAUACCCCUGUCUAAAUAUUUCUGAGACCCUUCUAAACUGAACUCCAAGUGAUGAUGAUGAUGACGGUAAGGAUAAAAAAUUGACCUGUGUUAAAUAACAAAACUGAGCCAAGUAAAAUUGAAGAUCUAACUGG